GACGAACGCUGGCGGCGUGCCUAAUACAUGCAAGUCGAACGCACAGGUUAUACCGUAGCUUGCUACACCAUAGACUGUGAGUUGCGAACGGCUGAGUAACGCGUAGGUAACCUGCCUGGUAGCGGGGGAUAACUAGUGGAAACGAUAGCUAAGACCGCAUAAUCUUGAUUAUUGCAUGAUAAUUGAUUGAAAGAUGCUAUUGCAUCACUACCAGAUGGCCCUGCGUUGUAUUAGCUAGUAGGCGAGGUAACGGCUCACCUAGGCGACGAUACAUAGCCGAACUGAGAGGGUGGUCGGCCAACCUGGGACUGGGACACGGCCCAGACUUCUACCGGAAGCAGCAGGAGGGAAUCUUCGGGAAUGGGCGGAAGUCUGACCGAACAACGCCGCGGGAGUGGAGAAGGUUUUCGGGUCGGAAAGCUCUGUUGUAAGGGAAGAACGAGUGUGAGAGUGGAAAGUUCACACUGUGACGGUAACUGACCAGAAAGCAACGGCUAACUACGUG
rnacentral:rRNA from 1 species